UACGGAGGAUGCAAGCGUUAUCCGGAAUCAUUGGGUUUAAAGGGUCCGUAGGCGGAUAAUUAAGUCAGGGGUGAAAGUCUGCAGCUCAACUGCAGGACUGCCCUUGAUACUGGUUAUCUUGAAUCGUUGUGAAGUGGCUAGAAUAUGUAGUGUAGCGGUGAAAUGCAUAGAUAUUACAUAGAAUACCGAUUGCGAAGGCAGGUCACUAACAACGUAUUGACGCUAAGGGACGAAAGCGUGGGGAGCGAACAGG
rnacentral:misc_RNA from 1 species